rnacentral:snRNA from 1 species
UUCAAUUACUUGGCCUUUUGGCUAAGAUCAAGUGUGGUAUCUGUUCUUACCUGUUUAAUCGAAUUUUUAAAGAGGAAAAAAACACAAUGGAUUGCUAUUGUCUAUAUUCACAAAAUUCAUUUGUUUUGGACACUUAAGAGAUCUAGAACAAUUUUAUUUCAA